GAUGAACGCUAGCGGCAGGCCUAAUACAUGCAAGUCGAACGGUGUCUUCGGACAUAGUGGCGCACGGGUGCGUAACACGUAUGCAACCUACCUUACAUUGGGGGAUAGCCUUUCGAAAGGGAGAUUAAUACCGCAUAAGACAGUAACUAGGCAUCUAGUAGCUGUUAAAGAUUUAUCGAUGUAAGCUGGGCAUGCGUCCAAUUAGCUAGUUGGUGAGGUAACGGCUCACCAAGGCAAUGAUUGGUAGGGGAACUGAGAGGUCAAUCCCCCACACUGGCACUGAGAUACGGGCCAGACUCCUACGGGAGGCAGCAGUAGGGAAUAUUGGGCAAUGGACGCAAGUCUGACCCAGCCAUGCCGCGUGCAGGAUGAAGGCGUUAUGCGUUGUAAACUGGAUUUAUACAGGAAGAAACGACUCUUGCGGGAGGCAUUGACGGUACUGUAUGAAUAAGCACCGGCUAACUC
rnacentral:rRNA from 1 species